rnacentral:rRNA from 1 species
UACAGGGGGUGCAAGCGUUGCUCGGAAUCACUGGGCGUAAAGCGAACGCAGGCGGACCAGAAAGUCAGGGGUGAAAUCCCGGGGCUCAACCCCGGAACUGCCUCUGAUACUGCUGGUCUUGAGUACGGGAGAGGUGAGUGGAAUUCCUGGUGUAGAGGUGAAAUUCGUAGAUAUCAGGAGGAACACCGGUGGCGAAAGCGGCUCACUGGCCCGAUACUGACGCUCAUGUUCGAAAGCGUGGGGAGCAAACAGG